UACGGGGGGGGCAAGCGUUGUUCGGAAUUACUGGGCGUAAAGGGCUCGUAGGCGGCCAACUAAGUCAGACGUGAAAUCCCUCGGCUUAACCGGGGAACUGCGUCUGAUACUGGAUGGCUUGAGUUCGGGAGAGGGAUGCGGAAUUCCAGGUGUAGCGGUGAAAUGCGUAGAUAUCUGGAGGAACACCGGUGGCGAAGGCGGCUAUCUGGACUGUGAUUGACGCUGAGGCGCGAAAGCGUGGGGAGCAAACAGG
rnacentral:rRNA from 1 species